CUGGAAAAGUGCAGCUGUUCACCUUCAGCCCUCAGUCCUCAGGUGAGAAAACAGAUCAGAGGUGGUUCAUCAAUGUGUUUCUGGGAGUUGCAGCUCUCUUAAUAACUGUUGUUAUUGUUGUUGCUCUCAUCAGAUGGAAGAAAACUAAAGGAAAAAAACCCCAGAUGGAUGAAAACACUG